GACGAACGCUGGCGGCGUGCUUAACACAUGCAAGUCGAACGGAAAGGCCCUGCUUGCAGGGUGCUCGAGUGGCGAACGGGUGAGUAACACGUGGGUGAUCUGCCCCUUACUUUGGGAUAAGCCUGGGAAACUGGGUCUAAUACUGGAUAGGACCAUGCUGUAGGUGGUGUGGUGGAAAGAUUAGUUUCGGUAAGGGAUGAGCUCGCGGCCUAUCAGCUUGUUGGUGGGGUAAUGGCCUACCAAGGCGUCGACGGGUAGCCGGCCUGAGAGGGUGGACGGCCACAUUGGGACUGAGAUACGGCCCAGACUCCUACGGGAGGCAGCAGUGGGGAAUAUUGCACAAUGAGCGCAAGCCUGAUGCAGCGACGCCGCGGGGGGGAUGACGGCCUUCGGGUUGUAAACUCCUUUCAGCCAUGACGAAGCCCUUGUGGUGACGGUAGUGGUAGAAGAAGCACCGGCUAACUACGUG
rnacentral:rRNA from 1 species